rnacentral:pre_miRNA from 1 species
CUGACCGCUUUCGUGUGGUGUUCAGAGUUCCCAACACGUCUAGCACCAUUCGAAAUCGGUUAC